rnacentral:rRNA from 1 species
CCUACGGGAGGCAGCAGUGGGGAAUCUUGCGCAAUGGGCGAAAGCCUGACGCAGCCAUGCCGCGUGUAUGAUGAAGGUCUUAGGAUUGUAAAAUACUUUCACCGGUGAAGAUAAUGACUGUAGCCGGAGAAGAAGCCCCGGCUAACUUCGUGCCAGCAGCCGCGGUAAUACGAAGGGGGCUAGCGUUGCUCGGAAUUACUGGGCGUAAAGGGAGCGUAGGCGGACAUUUAAGUCAGAGGUGAAAUCCCGGAGCUUAACUUCGGAACUGCCUUUGAUACUGGGUGUCUUGAGUGUGAGAGAGGUAUGUGGAACUCCGAGUGUAGAGGUGAAAUUCGUAGAUAUUCGGAAGAACACCAGUGGCGAAGGCGACAUACUGGCUCAUUACUGACGCUGAGGCUCGAAAGCGUGGGGAGCAAACAGGAUUAGAUACCCUGGUAGUCCACGCCGUAAACGAUGAUUGCUAGUUGUCGGGAAGCUUGCUUCUCGGUGACGCNGCUACGCAUANACAUCCGUUCCGUCGGGAGGUACGGUCGCGAGAUAACUACAANAGAGUAGACGCGUGAGACGUGCGACGACGACGACGAGGGAGAGG